UAAAAAGAGAUCUGCCCGUGCCUGCGGUUAAGCUCAGCCGUUGAAUUUGAACUCAAAAACCGUUGGCUGUCUUCUUCACCCCCAGGAUGGAGAGAGAGAGAGGAUUCAACUUCAAGCUGUUGGUGCCUCCUAGAGUCAACCCAAUCCCAGGACAGGUUUCUACCGUCAAACCACAGGAAAUAGUGGAGGAUGGGGGAUGUUUCAUGCAAACUUUGCAGCAGGGUUAUAAUAAAUGUUUGGACAAAGAGUCAAACAUGCCUUUUCCCUCUAUGAAUAUGGUUGUGCCAACAAAACCCACCAGAUCAGAUGUAUUCAAGAUGAAAGUUGUGCCACCAAUGGAAAAUGAAGAAGUAAGUAAACUUAGUUUGGUGUGAACACAGAUAAAAACAUAAUAGUAUGUGAUGUGACUUGGAGCUGGUGGGACGUGGCAUGGGAUGUGGGGGAAUAAAACUUCUAUAGAGAGCAGAGGGGGAUGUUUGCUUUGCCAAGCCCCUUGAUUCCUGAAGUUUCCCUAUACGUUCACCUGUUUAUAUUACACCAAUGAGUAUCAAAUAGAGUGGGUCUUUAGAAAACCACUUGGGAUGUUCCAAACAUUUAUUUCUGAAAAGCCGCAAUGGUCACGUCAACUUUAGCACGCCACAAUAUACAGUGCAUUCUGAAAGUAUUCAGACCCCUUCCCUUUUUCCACAUUUUGUUACGUUACAGCCUUUUCUAAAAUGUAUUAAAUAACUUUUUCCUCAUCAAUCUCCACACAAUACCACAUAAUUGUCACGUUCUGACCUUUAUUUCCUUUGUUUUGUCUUUAUUUAGUAUGGUCAGGGUGUGAGUUGGGGUGGGCAGUCUAUGUUUGUAUUCCUAUGUUUUCCUAUUUCUGUGUUUGGCCUGAUAUGGUUCUCAAUCAGAGGCAGGUGUUUUGUGUUGUCUCUGAUUGGGAACCAUAUUUAGGUAGCCUGUUUUGUGUUGGGGUUUUGGUGGGUGGAUGUCUUCAGUCUUCGUGUAUGCACCAGACAGAACUGUUUCGGUUUUUCACAUUUGUUGUUAUUUGACGUAUGUGGUGUUUGUGUUCUUUUGGGUUUUCACUGUCCGGGUUUUGUGGUAACUAUGGUUUUGGGUUUGUUGCGCCUUUGUUUUGGGCUUCACCCAUGUUUGUAACUGGUUACUUUACGAAGGACAUUAAAGCGUUUUUCCCGUCAA